rnacentral:lncRNA from 1 species
CAUGUGCCUAUCGUCCCAGCUACUCAGGAGGCUGAAGUGGGAGGAUUAUUUGCGCCCAGAAAUUUGAGGCCACAGUGUGGUAUAUCAUCUGUCAAUAGCCACUGCACUACAAACUGGGCAUCCUAGCAAGAACCUGUAUCUCCAAAAAAAAAAAACUUGAAAAGUGAUUAAGACUAUCCACGUGUUUUUUCUUACUGUUUCUGUCUACUUCCUAAUCUGCAGAUCUGCAAAUGGAAUAAAUGCAAAUGGGAUAAAUGCAAAAUGGAAUAAAUGUCUGGCAGAAGUCAGAAUCUGGAAUUUUUACCAAUUUUGUCCAAUUUAAUUUUACAGUCAACUUGAUCAGCUACUGAGGUGUGUUGGAAGUCAUAGCCACAAUAUUUUGCAGCUCCUCCCAUCAAGGUAGUGUUUGUUUUCCCAGCCCUAGUAUUUGAGCUGGCCUUGUGCCUUGCUUUAACCAAUAAAAUGAGCAGAUGUGUUUCUGGGCUGGUUCUGAGACCUUAAGAGACCUUCUGCUUCAGUCUCUUGGGGUCCUGCUGGCAUGUAAAGAAGCUCAGGCUAAGCCAUGGACGGAUGAGAGACCACGUGGGGAGAUUCCCAACAAGUCCCAACCCACAUCACAUGGAAGAAAGUCAUACAGCAGCGCCCUCAUGCAGAAUGGUGGACCCAGAUGCACAUAACUUGCAAAGAAAUUGUCUGAAAGGAGGUGGCCGUCAGUCAGAGUGAAGAAGGAAAGGAUAUCUUUUGGAAAAAAGAUACGGAGAAGAAAAUGCCCAGGAAUGUGUAGAAGCAAGGAUCCUGCAUUGUUCUUCUGAAUGAUCUCCUGACAUUUUGAAAAGGACUGCAUUGAAUCUAUAGAUGAAGUUGGGAAGAACAUCAUGACAAUAUCGAGUUUUCCUAAACAAAAACAUGAAAUACCUCAAUAUUUGUUUAAUUGUUCUUUGAUUUCUUUCAUCAGGUUUUCAAAGUUUUCCUCUUACAGAUCUUGUACACAUUUAUUAGAUU